AUUGAACGCUAGCGGGAGGCUUUACACAUGCAAGUCGAACGGAGUGGCGGACGGGUGAGUAAUAUAUCGGAACGUGCCCAGUAGCGGGGGAUAACUACUCGAAAGAGUGGCUAAUACCGCAUACUAUUGGAGCGGCCGAUAUCGGAUUAGCUAGUUGGUGGGGUAACGGCUCACCAAGGCAACGAUCCGUAGCUGGUUUGAGAGGAUGACCAGCCACACUGGGACUGAGAAACGGCCCAGACUCCUACGGGAGGCAGCAGUGGGGAAUUUUGGACAAUGGGGGAAACCCUGAUCCAGCCAUCCCGCGUGUAUGAUGAAGGCCUUCGGGUUGUAAAGUACUUUCGGCAGAGAAGCGGUAUCUGCAGAAGAAGCACCGGCUAACUACGUGCCAGCAGCCGCGGUAAUUC
rnacentral:rRNA from 1 species